GCACCAACUCUCAAGAUGAGAAAGGGCAAUGCACGGUACUGAAGAGGCUAGCAAAAUAUGGAUGGUGGAAGUGCCAACAAUCAAAUACUCACAUUAGUCCAAAGAACUCAUACACUUAUUAUCGGUAACUCUCUAUCUAGUUAGGAAAUUCAUAAAGACACAAGUACCCCGAGGAGGAGUGUUUGGGGGUUUGGUUAUCCUUGCACAUCCUUGACCCAUGGUAACAUGAGGGUACUCUAUAUAUUU
rnacentral:lncRNA from 1 species